rnacentral:rRNA from 1 species
AAACUAACAGAUUUACUUCGGUAAUGACGUUAGGAAAGCGAGCGGCGGAUGGGUGAGUAACACGUGGGGAACCUGCCCCAUAGUCUGGGAUACCACUUGGAAACAGGUGCUAAUACCGGAUAAGAAAGCAGAUCGCAUGAUCAGCUUUUAAAAGGCGGCGUAAGCUGUCGCUAUGGGAUGGCCCCGCGGUGCAUUAGCUAGUUGGUAAGGUAAAGGCUUACCAAGGCGAUGAUGCAUAGCCGAGUUGAGAGACUGAUCGGCCACAUUGGGACUGAGACACGGCCCAAACUCCUACGGGAGGCAGCAGUAGGGAAUCUUCCACAAUGGACGCAAGUCUGAUGGAGCCACGCCGCGUGAGUGAAGAAGGUUUUCGGAUCGUAAAGCUCUGUUGUUGGUGAA